GACGAACCGUGCGAACGUUGUUCGGAAUCACUGGGCAUAAAGGGUGUGCAGGCGGGCUGUUAAGUGGUGUAUGAAAUAUCCCGGCUCAACCGGGAGAGGUUAUGCCAGACUGGCAGUCUAGAGAGCGAGAGAGGGACGUGGAAUUCCGGGUGUAGUGGUGAAAUGCGUAGAUAUCUGGAGGAACACCGGUGGCGAAGGCGGCAUUCUGGACCGACAUUGACGCUGAGGAGCGAAAGCCAGGGGAGCAAACGGG
rnacentral:rRNA from 1 species